rnacentral:rRNA from 1 species
GACGAACGCUGGCGGCGUGCCUAAUACAUGCAAGUUGAGCGAUGAAGAUUGGUGCUUGCACCAAUUUGAAGAGCAGCGAACGGGUGAGUAACGCGUGGGGAAUCUGCCUUUGAGCGGGGGACAACAUUUGGAAACGAAUGCUAAUACCGCAUAACAACUUUAAACAUAAGUUUUAAGUUUGAAAGAUGCAAUUGCAUCACUCAAAGAUGAUCCCGCGUUGUAUUAGCUAGUUGGUGAGGUAAAGGCUCACCAAGGCGAUGAUACAUAGCCGACCUGAGAGGGUGAUCGGCCACAUUGGGGCUGAGACACGGCCCAAACUCCUACGGGAGGCAGCAGUAGGGAAUCUUCGGCAAUGGACGAAAGUCUGACCGAGCAACGCCGCGUGAGUGAAGAAGGUUUUCGGAUCGUAAAACUCUGUUGGUAGAGAAGAACGUUGGUGAGAGUGGAAAGCUCAUCAAGUGACGGUAACUACCCAGAAAGGGACGGCUAACUACGU